rnacentral:lncRNA from 1 species
GGGGAGCCGCGGCCCCACCGAAGGGACCCCCGGCCGCCGAGCGGCCUCUACGUCAGCGCCCCGGGUGGCGCCGCCUCCGCCCGCCGGCCUGGGCCGCCGCUCCCGCCGCCGGGAAGGCGGGCUGGGGAACCCUGCGGGGGAGAAGGAAGAGGAUAAAUGGCCAGGCAGCAGAACAUACGACUUGCCCCAGGAUAUCAUGCUGCCAGGAAGGAGAAACACCAGCAUCACCAUUCAGUCCAGCCCGCACCAGUGCCACCCACAGCCACUGACCCCUGGGCCCAUGACAGCAUCGCCCUUGGGCCUUCCUCUGCAAUUCUGGUGGUGUGGAAGGAGUGGCCAGCAUGGCUCCAGCAAGGAGGGAUGUCCUUGGCCUCCUUGUUCCAGCCACAGGGUCGCCGGAGCCCCAGCACCCUCUCCCUUCCUCUCUCCUUAAUGCCCACGCCUGCACCUACUGGAGCUUCAGGAGCGGGUGGACAGACCCAACUUGGAGCUAAGGGUUGGGUUCCAGCCCAGUCCCUGCUGAGAGUGACCUAAAGCAAGCUGUGCUGCUCUCUCACCUACAGCAAUUGCAACUAAGAGAUGAGAACCACCGGAAAGAAGGAGCACCUGCUUGUCAGGGAGCAGAGAGGGACCCUUGACAUGCGCGCGCUCCUGCUGCUGAGACUGUACUGUUCAGAAACCUGUCCCUCUCCCCUCUUAAAGCCAGAGGGCUCUCCCUGUCAGUUUGCUAUUCUCAAGUGGCGUGGGCCUGCCCCUUGAGAGAGGGAAGAAAAGCGCGUGGUUGUCACGGUGGGAGAGGUACUGCCUAGCAAUGGAUGGUGGAAGCUGGUGGGCCUGGAAAGUGUUCCUCCACAACGCUGUCCCUCUGCCAGGCACGUGCGAUCCAGAGUGGGUUAGACUGGUUCCCGUCACAGGCAGGGUCCUCAGUGGAAUGGUGUUUUUGAAAGAUGGAGCGUCCGGGCGCCCCCAUCUUCUCACAGCACAGAGAAGGGGCUGGCUGGCCCGCCACCGGGAGGCUGGCGCAGAGGGACUCAGCCGUGGCCCCGGAACAGCGGGCCACCGUCAGGAACCGGCGAGUCAGGGUGGGAAGAGGCCCUGGAGUGAGCGAGGCUAGCUUCACUUCCUUCAAACUCUGAAGGCCCACCCCAUAAAAAGAAGGGGUAAAUUCGUCUGGGGUCUGAACAGCCAGGACCAAGAGCGCUCUCAGGCUGCUAGUUGGAGAAACUGGCUCGGCUCGGGCCUUGCUGGGACUCGGGCUCCCAGGGUCUGCUCGGUCUCUCUCGGGGCACUCGGGUCUUUGCUGGGCCCGGCGCCGGCCCCGCACAGAGAACCGGCUUCAACGGCGCAGUCUCAGCCUCCGGGAGGAAAAAGCUGGGAGUAGGCCUCACUGACACGGCCCCGCCUCGCGGGCUGCGCGCGCACCGGGACCUGCGCGGUGGCGGACGGGGAAGCGCCACGCAAGGCCCCGCCCCGCCCUUCCACAGGAAGGAAACGCGCCCCCGGGCGAGCGCCAGCCCCUCCCUGGAGCGGGAUCGCCGCAGCUCUCCUGGCCGCCUCCGGCGCCGUUAGCCCACCAUCCCCCGCUAGAGGGCAGCACGGGGCGCUUUCUCCAGGCGCUCGGCGGACCUGGGUACGGGGACCUCAUAUCAGGCUGCAGAGAAGAGCCUUCAGUCAAAAGGAUGGCAUGAAAAACGGACUAUACUUGUAACAUCCAGCUUUUAAAACGUGGUGGAGUCAAAUUUAUUGCUUCCUCAGGGCUUAAAAAAACCUCUUCUGUAAGUCUGCUUUAUCAAACAGAAUUUUUUUAUCCCCUUGGUUGCUUGAAACUGAGCUAUCAAACAAAUUAAUCAUAUAUUAAUGUCCCUCUAAGCCGGAAACCUGGAAUUACUUUGAAAAGGUAAAAUAUUUUUCAACUUUGGUUUUCUGAUCUUUUCAGUAGUUGUUUCGAUUUGAAUUAAACCUCUAUAAAAUUAGCUUUUACAAGUGAAUUUAAAAGCCACGCCAUACUUUAUACUAAAAGAAUAAAGAUUUUUAUUAAGCAUUGUAAGUUGCAUUCAAUAGCCUUCAGAUACACCACACCACAAUCCAUCGACAGUCAAUCAAACCCAACAGCAGUUCAUUCUUGCACAAUCCAUGAGUUAGGGCAAAACUCCCUUCAACUUACAGUAAGAUCCUACUUAGCUCUUGCGGGCAGGGGUUGGGGAAUUACACCUCAUUUCUGAUCACUAAUGUGAUGAAGAGCAUCAGAAGUAUAUGAAAACGAUAAGAAGUGAUUCUGAUUUCAAAGUACAUUGUUUGGAAACAUUAACAAAAACAUCAAAAUGAUAGAAGUAUACCUGCUUCUACUAAAUUCUUGAUGGGAAAGUUCUCAAGAACAAGCAAUUUGUUUCCUGCUACAGAAGGGGGGGGUGGUUUUUUUUUUUUUAAGAUCAAAGGGUUUUUUUUCACAGAAUUUCAUAUUUGCUAAUAUGAAGGCAUAAAACAGCAACAAAGAACAAUAAUGCAUACAGCAGUGAAUACACCAGGGUAAUGUUGAUAUUCGAAACGGCUAGAUAAUUUUUGGGGGGCUUUAGAAUAAAUGCAACAGAGGUCAAUAAUCACAAAAUUUUAAGGUUAGAGCAAGAUCAGUCAAUGACUAAACAGAGUUAACAUCUUUUAUAGGACUAUUACUGAUUAUUAGCAUUUUUGUUUUGCAAAUGGGCACAUACUGUUAAGAAUGGAAGAAAGGACGAUAACAUGCAUAUUAACUACACACUUUAAAAAUUAUGAACCAUGCAGAAGUUUAGCUCAAGUAGUAGUACUAAUGGUCUACAUCCGAUUCAAAACCACAUAGUUCAUUGAUCACAGAUGCAUGGUAUUAGUCACGAAAGUUUCAGAACACAUUGUGUUGAUUUUGAAAGGUCAUUUGC